rnacentral:rRNA from 1 species
CAUCAUGAUUUACAUUUGAGUGAGUGGCGAACUGGUGAGUAACACGUGGGAAACCUGCCCAGAAGCGGGGGAUAACACCUGGAAACAGAUGCUAAUACCGCAUAACAACUUGGACCGCAUGGUCCGAGUUUGAAAGAUGGCUUCGGCUAUCACUUUUGGAUGGUCCCGCGGCGUAUUAGCUAGAUGGUGGGGUAACGGCUCACCAUGGCAAUGAUACGUAGCCGACCUGAGAGGGUAAUCGGCCACAUUGGGACUGAGACACGGCCCAAACUCCUACGGGAGGCAGCAGUAGGGAAUCUUCCACAAUGGACGAAAGUCUGAUGGAGCAACGCCGCGUGAGUGAAGAAGGGUUUCGGCUCGUAAAACUCUGUUGUUAAAGAAGAACAUAUCUGAGAGUAACUGUUCAGGUAUUGACGGUAUUUAACCAGAAAGCCACGGCUAACUACGUGCCAGCAGCCGCGGUAAUACGUAGGUGGCAAGCGUUGUCCGGAUUUAUUGGGCGUAAAGCGAGCGCAGGCGGUUUUUUAAGUCUGAUGUGAAAGCCUUCGGCUCAACCGAAGAAGUGCAUCGGAAACUGGGAAACUUGAGUGCAGAAGAGGACAGUGGAACUCCAUGUGUAGCGGUGAAAUGCGUAGAUAUAUGGAAGAACACCAGUGGCGAAGGCGGCUGUCUGGUCUGUAACUGACGCUGAGGCUCGAAAGUAUGGGUAGCAAACAGGAUUAGAUACCCUGGUAGUCCAUACCGUAAACGAUGAAUGCUAAGUGUUGGAGGGUUUCCGCCCUUCAGUGCUGCAGCUAACGCAUUAAGCAUUCCGCCUGGGGAGUACGGCCGCAAGGCUGAAACUCAAAGGAAUUGACGGGGGCCCGCACAAGCGGUGGAGCAUGUGGUUUAAUUCGAAGCUACGCGAAGAACCUUACCAGGUCUUGACAUACUAUGCAAAUCUAAGAGAUUAGACGUUCCCUUCGGGGACAUGGAUACAGGUGGUGCAUGGUUGUCGUCAGCUCGUGUCGUGAGAUGUUGGGUUAAGUCCCGCAACGAGCGCAACCCUUAUUAUCAGUUGCCAGCAUUAAGUUGGGCACUCUGGUGAGACUGCCGGUGACAAACCGGAGGAAGGUGGGGAUGACGUCAAAUCAUCAUGCCCCUUAUGACCUGGGCUACACACGUGCUACAAUGGAUGGUACAACGAGUUGCGAACUCGCGAGAGUAAGCUAAUCUCUUAAAGCCAUUCUCAGUUCGGAUUGUAGGCUGCAACUCGCCUACAUGAAGUCGGAAUCGCUAGUAAUCGCGGAUCAGCAUGCCGCGGUGAAUACGUUCCCGGGCCUUGUACACAC